rnacentral:rRNA from 1 species
UACGGAGGGGGCUAGCGUUGUUCGGAAUUACUGGGCGUAAAGCGCACGUAGGCGGCUUUGUAAGUUAGAGGUGAAAGCCCAGGGCUUAACCCUGGAAUUGCCUUUAAGACUGCAUCGCUAGAAUCGUGGAGAGGUGAGUGGAAUUCCGAGUGUAGAGGUGAAAUUCGUAGAUAUUGGGAAGAACACCGGUGGCGAAGGCGGCGACCUGGUCCUUUUACUGACGCUGAGGCGCGAAAGCGUGGGGAGCAAACAGG